AAAUUUUUGAGUUUUUUUUAUAAGUAAAAAAUAUUAUUAUAAGGCAGUAUAAACACCACCAACCAGGAACUUUGCCUACAAGACAUCAGGUCUAAACACCACCAACCAGGAAAUGGAAUUCAAGCAUUGCGCCCAUAACGACGAGAAAACCAUAGCAAAGAAAAAAGCUUAAAUUUUUUGUGGGGUUUAAUAGAAACAUCGGGGGACAAAUUCCUAAAGUUAGGGGG
rnacentral:lncRNA from 1 species